GUUCUCUCGUUCUCUCCUUUCUCUUCUAGAGCAUGCCUGGGCAGGCCCUUUCCCCUGCUCUAGAUCAGCGAGCGGCCAUGGCCGGCUCCUACCCCCGCCAAGGCAAAUCGCGGGGGAGGGCCACCACGCGCCAUGUCCUUCCACCCACGUGAGAGGAAACCAUGGUAGGGUGCUCCACGCUCGCGCGGAUCUCCCGAGGAAGGAGGAGACGAUGGAGCGGGGGAGCUGUAGGUGUCGUGCACCGACCGUGCUGCGACAGGGGAAGGGUACACACGCCGGUGAUGGCGUACCCCCGCGCGCAACUGGCGAGUGGCGGAGCUGGUCCCCGGCUACGGUGGAGUUGCAAGCGGCAAGGGGCAAAGCUGCAACCGGCAAGCGGCGGAGCUGGAACCGGCCUGAGAAGGAGCUGGAAACAUUUGAUUUUUUUGCUGGAAGGCUCUUCAGAGCUACGAUGAUGGAACAACACACUUUUUUGCUGGAAGUGAUGUUUCUUUUUGCUGGAAGCGUCACUUUGGAUUGCUACUGUCGAUGCAUCACGACGAGCGGCAGAGCUUCAUAUCUGCAAUGGGGACAAGAGAAAAGCUACGACAGUUGAGGGAAAAAGCUACAACCAGUGUUUUUUUGCUGUCACCGAUGUCUGGUUUUCUUUCACUGGGACGUACGACCUGUGGUGGCGGACGGCCGUCGCCGGCAGCACGGUGAUGCCUCGAGCGACGAAGCGUCGGGGCGAGAUUCGACGGCGAGCGUCAGGGGCAGUGCGGCGACCCGCGGCGACGGGCGAGCGCGCGAGGGUGGGUGCUUCGAGGUCGGUUGUGUGCUCGUUCAUGAAGAGUCCGAGUAGGAAGAACGAGCAGGGGGGAGAAACAAGAUCGUGCGGCUACGAAGCGCUUUUAUCGUGCGGUCCUGGUGUGACCGGCCCAAAGUUGGGCCGGCACGCCGGCGCCUAUUAGCUCCCUUUCUGAAUUUAGUCAGCACUUAUUGCAAAAUGUUCACCACAGAAUAAUCCAAUUUAUGUACUGCUUAUGUUACAUCUGGAAACCAAGAAUGUGGUGGGUUAAAUUUUUCAAAGCCAAAAUUACUCCUAUGGGAUUAUAAAUUAAGGAACUACUUCUAUGGAUAGUGCAAAGGAGACUAUUUGGAUAAUUAUUUCCAAUCUUUUAGGACAAAAUACUCCUAGCUGUAGUCCCUAGAAUAUUCAGUCAGAAGAUGCCCAAAUGUAGAUGGUGUUGAGCAUGCAUGAUUGUUUCCUGGGUCAAAUUUAGAUGGUGUUUGCCAAUAGAGAGGGAGACGUGUAUUUUUGAAUGAAAAAAGUGAUGUGUUGAUCUGCUGCUGCUAUUGUAAUUCAGCUGAUUUGCUGCUAUUGUAAUUCAGAUCAUCAUCUGCUGCUAUUUCUCCUGCUGCUAUCACUAUUGAUCUGCUGCUUUUUUUGGAACGUGGACGCUAGAGGCGUCUGACUUUAAAUUAAAGCCACUAGGCAGCAUCCACACAAAGUUUAAAACAUACAAACCAAACAAAGGUAAAACAUCGGGCCUCUCAUCUCGGCAAAGUCUGAGUUUCUUAUGCCUGUGCAUAAUGGUAUAAUUAUGGCGGUUCUUUGGAUUUUUAUGUAUUCUGGAGUAUACUUACAUUAACAGGUUUGAGAGUGCAUAAACUAGGAAUUUUUCAUACUGGUGAUUAAUUGGUUCAGAAUAGAGUUGACCAGACGUCUGUUUGUACUGUAGUUCAAUGAGGAAGCGCGGACACUUCGUUUAAAGAAAUACAAGACUAUCAUUCACCCAGGUAAUUGGCUAUUUUCCUCUUGUCUGAUGCAACAAUUGGAUGCUUAGGAUAUGAAUGGAGUUCAUUGUAUUUGUAGGUGAGUCAUGAAUCUGCAGCCUGCUCCCAUGUCUUUUCUCACUGGAGACACCUCCCACCGGCGCCGGCGAUGACCUCUACCCUGCUACUCUCCUUGCAAGGCACCUCUACCUCUCCUCUGAAGAAUGGGAAUGUUCCUCGGCACAAUGAGGAAUGUCAACGGAGGAACAACCUUUUUAUUUUAUUUUCUGUUGGCUCUUCUGUAUUGUUGCGGCCACAAAGAUUUACCGGGACACGGAGCCAUCAUGAUGUGUUUAAAAGUGGUUACAUUAUCCUUUUCUAACCUGAUGGUGUUAGAAACAUCUUAGCAUUCAAGCAGAUUUAGUUCAUUACUUAUUAAUUCCAAUUAUGUAAAAAAAUCAUUGAUCAUCGCUUGACAGAAAAUAUUUUGAUAUGCCAUCAUGUGCAAGGGCGAUGAACCUGGAUGUUAUUUACAUGUUUUGGAUGAUGGAUGAUUGUUUUGAAUGAAAAACUGUUAGAUAAAAGAAAGCAUGUGAUAAUGCUUAUAGAUUGAAA